GGGCGCUUAGCUCAGUGGCAAGAGCGCUGCUUUUACACAGCAGUGGUCACUGGUUCGAAUCCAGUAGCGCCCA
rnacentral:tRNA from 3 species